UGGUUGCCGGGCGAAAGCCCAGUCUUGGCUCCUUUGAGCCCCAACGGACGGCGGCGGCGGUUUUCCGUUGCUCCUCUUCUUGGAGACGUCGUUUUGGCAUCCCCUAGCGUACGGCGACCGGUCACGAUCAGCAGCGGCCGGUCCGGUGCUAGCCUCCUCCUGGUCGUGUGUGUUGGCGCUGUCGGUGUGUGGGGGUUGUAUAUUUUUUCCUUUUUCCGUGUUAUGACCCUCUAG
rnacentral:lncRNA from 1 species